rnacentral:rRNA from 1 species
UGCAGAAUCCCGUGAACCAUCGAGUCUUUGAACGCAAGUUGCGCCCGAAGCCUUUAGGCCGAGGGCAGGCCUGCCUGGGCGUCA